GAUAAACGCUGGCGGCGCACAUAAGACAUGCAAGUUGAACGGACUUAAUCGAAAUAUUUAUAUUUUGAAGCGGUUAGUGGCGGACUGGUGAGUAACGCGUAAGGAACCUGCCUAUUAGAGGGGAAUAACAGUGAGAAAUCAUUGCUAAUACCGGAUAUGCCAUAGAUAUCACAUGAUAACAGUGGGAAAGGAGCAAUCCGCUAAUAGAUGGCCUUGCGUCUGAUUAGAUAGUUGGUGGGGUAACGGCCUACCAAGUCGACGAUCAGUAGCCGGACUGAGAGGUUGAACGGCCACAUUGGGACUGAGAUACGGCCCAGACUCCUACGGGAGGCAGCAGUCGGGAAUAUUGCGCAAUGGAGGAAACUCUGACGCAGUGACGCCGCGUAUAGGAAGAAGGUUUUCGGAUUGUAAACUAUUGUCGUUAGGGAAGAGAAAGGACAGUACCUAAGGAGGAAGCUCCGGCUAACUACGUG
rnacentral:rRNA from 1 species